AAUACGUGGCAUACGGCUCAGUAACACGUAGUCAACAUGCCCAGGGGACGUGGAUAACCUCGGGAAACUGAGGAUAAACCGCGAUAGGUCAUCACUUCUGGAAUGGGUAAUGACUUAAAUCUACAUGGCCCCUGGAUUGGACUGCGGCCGAUCAGGCUGUUGGUGAGGUAAUGGCCCACCAAACCUGUAACCGGUACGGGCUCUGAGAGGAGGAGCCCGGAGAUGGGCACUGAGACAAGGGCCCAGGCCCUAUGGGGCGCAGCAGGCGCGAAACCUCUGCAAUAGGCGAAAGCUUGACAGGGUUACUCUGAGUGAUUUCCGUUAAGGAGAUCUUUUGGCACCUCUAAAAAUGGUGCAGAAUAAGGGGUGGGCAAGUCUGGUGUCAGCCGCCGCGGUAAUACCAGCACCCCGAGUGGUCGGGACGUUUAUUGGGCCUAAAGCAUCCGUAGCCGGUUCUACAAGUCUUCCGUUAAAUCCACCUGCUUAACAGAUGGGCUGCGGAAGAUACUAUAGAGCUAGGAGGCGGGAGAGGCAAGCGGUACUCGAUGGGUAGGGGUAAAAUCCGUUGAUCCAUUGAAGACCACCAGUGGCGAAGGCGGCUUGCCAGAACGCGCUCGACGGUGAGGGAUGAAAGCUGGGGGA
rnacentral:rRNA from 1 species